GUCCCUGUAGGGGCAAUGGAUAGCACGUUGAACUUCUAAUUCAAAGGUCGUGGGUUCGAAUAGCCUGGGAUG